UACGUAGGGUGCAGGCGUUAAUCGGAAUUACUGGGCGUAAAGCGUGCGCAGGCGGUUUCUUAAGUCAGAUGUGAAAGCCCCGGGCUUAACCUGGGAACUGCGUUUGAGACUGGGAGACUUGAGUGUGGCAGAGGGGGGUGGAAUUCCACGUGUAGCAGUGAAAUGCGUAGAUAUGUGGAGGAACACCGAUGGCGAAGGCAGCCCCCUGGGUUAACACUGACGCUCAUGCACGAAAGCGUGGGGAGCAAACAGG
rnacentral:rRNA from 1 species